AUUGAACGCUGGCGGCAGGCCUAACACAUGCAAGUCGAGCGGCAGCGGGAGGAAGCUUGCUUCCUCGCCGGCGAGCGGCGGACGGGUUAGUAACGCGUGGGAAUAUGCCCUUCACUACGGAAUAGUCCCGGGAAACUGGGUUUAAUACCGUAUACGCCCUUCGGGGGAAAGAUUUAUCGGUGAAGGAUUAGCCCGCGUUGGAUUAGGUAGUUGGUGGGGUAAUGGCCUACCAAGCCGACGAUCCAUAGCUGGUUUGAGAGGAUGAUCAGCAACACUGGGACUGAGACACGGCCCAGACUCCUACGGGAGGCAGCAGUGGGGAAUCUUAGACAAUGGGGGCAACCCUGAUCUAGCCAUGCCGCGUGAGUGAUGAAGGCCUUAGGGUUGUAAAGCUCUUUCAGCUGGGAAGAUAAUGACGGUACCAGCAGAAGAAGCCCCGGCUAACUCCGUGCCAGCCGCCGCAGUAAAAC
rnacentral:rRNA from 1 species